AAGUCACCGCCGCUGGCCUGGAGGCCUCAUGCCGUCACCGCUCGCCCCUUUCUCUGUAGGUCACCCACACACCUGGGACCCGGGGCCGUUUCCUCCUCACCACCAGGCUGGAGCCCGAGGAGGUGACCCUGAGGAGCGCGCAGCCGCCGGAGCCAUGGGUAGAUCCAGUCGGGAGCGUCGGCAACCAUCCCUCCUUCCGGCGGCGAUGAAGAAUUGAAGAGGCUUGAGGAGAAUGGGCGCAUGGGCCGUGCGCGUCUCCCGCGCUGGAGCCACCGGUCCUCGUCAUCUGCUAGGAUCCACGAGGAAUCGAUCCAUAUGUAAGCUAGCUUCCACCAUAAUCCAUCCAGCAGGCUGUUUGCUUGUUUGUUUACUAGUGGAAAGACAUGAUGCGAGGCCGGCGUCGUGGGAACAUGCCCGCUGCUAAUUGAUUCUCCUGCUAAUAAUAGUAGUAUGUGUUCUUGGCCGUGGUGGAGAUGUACAUACCUGAAUACUCGUCAUAUAUCCGUACAUACUUGAAUACUGUCAAACUGGCACAUAUACUUAUAUACAUACCAGAGUACCUGUGCAUUUUUUUUAAUUCAGCUAAACAGGUCUACAGAUUCUCAAUCUUGGCAAAGGCUUGCUUUGCUCCUUUGCCACUCGGCAAACUCUGACCCGUUAGAUUGGGUAGUAGAGAUCGUGAAGAGCAACACGAACAUCUACUUUACUGACAGGGAAUGUAGGUGUAAUACGUACAUAGUGGUUUUCAUGGUAAAGGUUCUAGUAGAUGUAUGGUCAUUUUAGUGUAGUAUAUCCCAAUAAUCACUAUGAAAAUACAGCAGAAGCUCGAGUGUUCGUUUCCACUUUAAUUAUUGUAUUUCUCAUAUCUCAAUCUCAUCUGCGAGUUUGAUAUAAUCAAAUGGGUGAUAGCAUCACCUUGUACUAUGUACCCAUCCUGGUUACUGUUUUUAUUUAGGUAAAUGUAAGAUACCAUCAUCUUUUACCAAGUAUUCAUCCUGGUUACGUUAUGUGCAAAAUAGGUUCUACACUUAAUUACAAAUUUGUUGAAUAUGUGGUUUUGCCGCGUGCUUAUAGCCUGUACCUUUUGGUUGUACAUCUAUUUCUGUCUCAAGUUAUUUAUCUCUUACAGAAUGUUUGUGGGGAGCUCGGUUAGUGUCGAUGCCUCAAGGGUUUAUACAUAUCAAUUCCAUGUUGCUUAAAGCCACUGUAACCGUGGCUACUGGUUUUCAGGUAUAUGUUUAUGGAGUCAUAACGUGCUUGUUGACAACUCGUAUCGAAUGUUUAUAUUAUUUAUAACGUUUUCAUGGAAUGUCUACUGUUAAAAAACAUCUUGCGGGUACUUUAGUUAGGUACUAGAAAGCACAUACACACGCACAUGCCCAGCACAACCACAAGCAUGAAAACAAGGCAAAUUUUGGUGUUGUAAUUUAUGGAUACCUCUUGGUUACUUUGUUUCAAAAUAAAUAAUUAAAUUUUGGCUGGCAUUUUCACCAAUGUAGCCCCCAAAAAAAUCAUCUUUGAUGGAUUGAAUACGACAAAAGUUCUAUGUAGUUCGAUUGGUAAUUGUUCGUUCGUCGUCAUAUAAUUCAACAUUUUUCUCUCGGGCUAUCUAUGUGAUAGGUCUAUGUUAUCAACUCUUUAUUAGUAAAAAUAGUACCUAUUUUGCCAUAUCCAUGGUCAAUUCCUAUAUUUUUUCCUUGAAAAAAAUCCUACAUAUUCCAUAGACCAUGUUGCAUUUUAGAAUUUUGUUCAAUGUUCGGCCCCCCUUGUGUAUAAUACCUUGCUCCGCCGUUGCGCCUAACACAUGCGUACAGUUGUGGGCAUCCCUUUAUUAGUCCCACCUGCAGUCUGAAUGUGUAUCCCUAAGAAAGUGAAUGGUCAUGAUAACCUUCCUGAAGUAUGACUCUGUGUAUCCAUUGAAGUAAUGUUCAUGCAAAUCCUAUAAUUAUUGUUGUUAAAUAAUAAUGUUCAUCAUAAUAUAGGUUGCAUCCAAAGUAGUUUUAAAGACUUUAACAUAUCCAAACCAGCGAAAUGUUGCAUAUGCUACUAUUCAGAGUAUUCAUCUAGAAACUAAGGUUGGUGAUAUUUAGGUAGGUGCCAAAUUUGCACUUGUGUGCAUAGAUGAACCUAUUCUGGAUAAUGAGGAGUUGGUAAGGUAAGUUUCUGAUUGCAAGAGAAUUGGUGAUGCUUUUGCUUCAGGAUACUUAAUUGUCCAACCUCCAGCUUUUGUAAGUCGGAGUCUUUUCUUCCAUAUUCCACAAUUAUAUUUGUGAGCAUUUAAUCACAUAACUGUAAGGUCCAUUUUCCUUUUACAGAUUCAAAAGAAGCAUAAUGGAGUUGCAGCUGAACCGUUCUUCGGUUGGAUGAAGAAGCAAAUGUAAUUAGAAUACUUUACUUAGCAAUAAUUGUAGUUUGCAUUGAUGGAUUGAAAAAUGUAACACCAUUCAGAAGAUCUUUUUCUUUGGUCGAAUUGAUGCAAAUGCUAUGGUGUAAUAUUCUUCAUAGAUGAGUUCUCUAUAGUAAAAUAUAUAUGAAUGAUAUGAUGUCUAGCCAAUAACAUUGGUAUGUAUUUAUUGUAAUGCAUAUGUAUCCUACACUCUUGUAGAUUCAUCAUAAAUACC
rnacentral:lncRNA from 1 species